rnacentral:rRNA from 1 species
AACGCUGGCGGCGUGCCUAAUACAUGCAAGUAGAACGCUGAAGAGAGGAGCUUGCUCUUCUUGGAUGAGUUGCGAACGGGUGAGUAACGCGUAGGUAACCUGCCUUGUAGCGGGGGAUAACUAUUGGAAACGAUAGCUAAUACCGCAUAACAAUGGAUGACACAUGUCAUUUAUUUGAAAGGGGCAAUUGUUCCACUACAAGAUGGACCUGCGUUGUAUUAGCUAGUAGGUGAGGUAAUGGCUCACCUAGGCGACGAUACAUAGCCGACCUGAGAGGGUGAUCGGCCACACUGGGACUGAGACACGGCCCAGACUCCUACGGGAGGCAGCAGUAGGGAAUCUUCGGCAAUGGGGGCAACCCUGACCGAGCAACGCCGCGUGAGUGAAGAAGGUUUUCGGAUCGUAAAGCUCUGUUGUAAGUCAAGAACGGGUGUGAGAGUGGAAAGUUCACACUGUGACGGUAGCUUACCAGAAAGGGACGGCUAACUACGUGCCAGCAGCCGCGGUAAUACGUAGGUCCCGAGCGUUGUCCGGAUUUAUUGGGCGUAAAGCGAGCGCAGGCGGUUUGAUAAGUCUGAAGUUAAAGGCUGUGGCUCAACCAUAGUUCGCUUUGGAAACUGUCAAACUUGAGUGCAGAAGGGGAGAGUGGAAUUCCAUGUGUAGCGGUGAAAUGCGUAGAUAUAUGGAGGAACACCGGUGGCGAAAGCGGCUCUCUGGUCUGUAACUGACGCUGAGGCUCGAAAGCGUGGGGAGCGAACAGGAUUAGAUACCCUGGUAGUCCACGCCGUAAACGAUGAGUGCUAGGUGUUGGAUCCUUUCCGGGAUUCAGUGCCGCAGCUAACGCAUUAAGCACUCCGCCUGGGGAGUACGACCGCAAGGUUGAAACUCAAAGGAAUUGACGGGGGCCCGCACAAGCGGUGGAGCAUGUGGUUUAAUUCGAAGCAACGCGAAGAACCUUACCAGGUCUUGACAUCCCGAUGCUAUUUCUAGAGAUAGAAAGUUACUUCGGUACAUCGGUGACAGGUGGUGCAUGGUUGUCGUCAGCUCGUGUCGUGAGAUGUUGGGUUAAGUCCCGCAACGAGCGCAACCCCUAUUGUUAGUUGCCAUCAUUCAGUUGGGCACUCUAGCGAGACUGCCGGUAAUAAACCGGAGGAAGGUGGGGAUGACGUCAAAUCAUCAUGCCCCUUAUGACCUGGGCUACACACGUGCUACAAUGGUUGGUACAACGAGUUGCGAGUCGGUGACGGCGAGCUAAUCUCUUAAAGCCAAUCUCAGUUCGGAUUGUAGGCUGCAACUCGCCUACAUGAAGUCGGAAUCGCUAGUAAUCGCGGAUCAGCACGCCGCGGUGAAUACGUUCCCGGGCCUUGUACACACCGCCCGUCACACCACGAGAGUUUGUAACACCCGAAGUCGGUGAGGUAACCUUUUGGAGCCAGCCGCCUAAGGUGGGACAGAUGAUUGGGGGA